rnacentral:rRNA from 1 species
AGAGUUUGAUCAUGGCUCAGGAUGAACGCUAGCGGCAGGCCUAAUACAUGCAAGUCGAGGGGUAAGGCCCAUUUCGGUGGGUACACGACCGGCGCACGGGUGCGUAACGCGUAUGCAACCUACCUUUAACAGGGGGAUAGCCCCGAGAAAUCGGGAUUAACACCCCAUAAAAUUAUUUUACUGCAUGGUAGAAUAAUUAAAACUCCGGUGGUUAAAGAUGGGCAUGCGUGACAUUAGCUUGUUGGUGAGGUAACGGCUCACCAAGGCGACGAUGUCUAGGGGUUCUGAGAGGAUGAUCCCCCACACUGGUACUGAGACACGGACCAGACUCCUACGGGAGGCAGCAGUAAGGAAUAUUGCGCAAUGGAGGCAACUCUGACGCAGCCAUGCCGCGUGCAGGAAGACGGCCUUAUGGGUUGUAAACUGCUUUUAUAAGGGAAUAAACUCUCGUUUGGGAACGGGACUGAAGGUACCUUAUGAAUAAGCACCGGCUAACUCCGUGCCAGCAGCCGCGGUAAUACGGAGGGUGCGAGCGUUAUCCGGAUUUAUUGGGUUUAAAGGGUGCGCAGGCGGGAUAUUAAGUCAGUGGUGAAAUCUUCCGGCUCAACCGGGAAACUGCCAUUGAUACUGGUAUUCUUGAGUUUGGUUGAAGUGGGCGGAAUGUAGCACGUAGCGGUGAAAUGCAUAGAGAUGCUACAGAACACCGAUUGCGAAGGCAGCUCACUAAGCCAAUACUGACGCUCAUGCACGAAAGCGUGGGGGAGCGAACAGGAUUAGAUACCCUGGUAGUCCACGCUGUAAACGAUGAUAACUCGUUGUUGGCGAUACACAGUCAGCGGCCAAGCGAAAGCGAUAAGUUAUCCACCUGGGGAGUACGAUCGCAAGGUUGAAACUCAAAGGAAUUGACGGGGGCCCGCACAAGCGGUGGAGCAUGUGGUUUAAUUCGAUGAUACGCGAGGAACCUUACCUGGGCUCAAAUGCAGGAUGACAGGUCCUGAAAGGGAUUUUUCUUCGGACAUUCUGCAAGGUGCUGCAUGGUUGUCGUCAGCUCGUGCCGUGAGGUGUCGGGUUAAGUCCCAUAACGAGCGCAACCCUUACUCUUAGUUACCAGCACGUAAAGGUGGGGACUCUAAGGGAACUGCCUACGCAAGUAGAGAGGAAGGUGGGGAUGACGUCAAAUCAGCACGGCCCUUACGUCCAGGGCUACACACGUGCUACAAUGGCCGGUACAGAGGGCAGCCACCCUGUGAGGGGGAGCGAAUCUCGAAAGCCGGUCUCAGUUCGGAUCGAAGUCUGCAACUCGACUUCGUGAAGCUGGAAUCGCUAGUAAUCGCGCAUCAGCCAUGGCGCGGUGAAUACGUUCCCGGGCCUUGUACACACCGCCCGUCAAGCCAUGGAAGCUGGGGGCGCCUGAAGUCGGUAACCGAUAAGGAACUGCCUAGGGCGAAACUAGUGACUGGGGCUAAGUCGUAACAAGGUA